ACAUGCAAGUCGAACGGCUCUUCGGAGCAGUGGCGGACGGGUGAGUAACGCGUGGGAACGUGCCCUUUGGCUCGGAACAACACAGGGAAACUUGUGCUAAUACCGAAUGAGCCCUUCGGGGGAAAGAUUUAUCGCCAUUGGAGCGGCCCGCGUUGGAUUAGGUAGUUGGUGGGGUAAAGGCCCACCAAGCCGACGAUCCAUAGCCGGUCUGAGAGGAUGAUCAGCCACACUGGGACUGAGACACGGCCCAGACUCCUACGGGAGGCAGCAGUGGGGAAUCUUGCGCAAUGGGCGAAAGCCUGACGCAGCCAUGCCGCGUGAAUGAUGAAGGUCUUAGGAUUGUAAAAUUCUUUCACCGGGGAAGAUAAUGACGGUACCCGGAGAAGAAGCCCCGGCUAACUUCGUGCCAGCAGCCGCGGUAAUACGAAGGGGGCUGGCGUUGCUCGGAAUUACUGGGCGUAAAGGGCGCGUAGGCGGACAGUUUAGUCAGAGGUAAAAGCCCAGGGCUCAACCUUGGAACUGCCUUUGAUACUGGCUGUCUUGAGUUCGGGAGAGGUGAGUGGAAUGCCGAGUGUAGAGGUGAAAUUCGUAGAUAUUCGGCGGAACACCAGUGGCGAAGGCGACUCACUGGCCCGA
rnacentral:rRNA from 1 species